UUACCCCGCUUGAACUUUAGCAUAUCAAUAAGCGGAGGAUAAGAAACCAACAGGCCGCGGCGGCCCGAAUUGUAAUCUGUAGGGGAUGGUUCCAACUGACGUGUUCUGCGUAAGUCCCCUGGAACGGGGCGCCAUAGAGGGUGAGAGCCCCGUGAGGUAGGGCGCGCUCGGUAAAUUGUGAAUCUCCUCCGACGAGUCGAGUAGUUUGGGAAUGCUGCUCUAAAUGGGAGGUAUAUUCCUUCUAAAGCUAAAUACCGGCCGGAGACCGAUAGCGCACAAGUAGAGUGAUCGAAAGGUGAAAAGCACUUUGGAAAGAGAGUGAAAUAGUACGUGAAAUUGUUGCAGGGGAAGCGCUCUUGACCAGUCGCGCGCCGUGGGAUCAGCCGUCGUUUACUCGGCGGUGUACUCCCUCCGGUUGCGGGUCAGCACCGGCUCUGGCGGUGGGAUAGGCUCGCUGGGAACGUGGCCCUGCCUUCGGGUGGGGUGUUAUAGCCCGGUGUGCGUACCGCCUGCUGGGGCCGAGGUAUCUUGCGCCUUACGGCUAGGAUGCUGGCAUAAUGGUCAUCAGCGUCCCGUCUUGAAACACGGACCAAGGAGUCAAGCAUUGGUGCGAGUGUUAGGGUGUCAAACCCGACCGCGCAAUGAAGGUGAACUUUCUGGGUGAGAACCCCUUCCGGGGGGGCACCACCGACCGGGCCCAAAGCUUCUGCAGAGGGACCUGAGUACGAGCACCACCGCUUGGACCCGAAAGAUUGCGAACUAUGCCUGUGUAGGGUGAAGCCAGAGGAAACUCUGGUGGAGGCUCGCAGCGGUUCUGACGUGCAAAUCGAUCGUCAAACAUGGGCAUGG
rnacentral:rRNA from 1 species